AUGAACGCUGGCGGCGUGCCUAAUACAUGCAAGUCGAGCGAACGGACGAGAAGCUUGCUUCUCUGAUGUUAGCGGCGGACGGGUGAGUAACACGUGGAUAACCUACCUAUAAGACUGGGAUAACUUCGGGAAACCGGAGCUAAUACCGGAUGAUAUUUUGAACCGCAUGGUUCAAAGGUGAAAGACGGUCUUGCUGUCACUUAUAGAUGGAUCCGCGCUGCAUUAGCUAGUUGGUAAGGUAACGGCUUACCAAGGCAACGAUGCAUAGCCGACCUGAGAGGGUGAUCGGCCACACUGGAACUGAGACACGGUCCAGACUCCUACGGGAGGCAGCAGUAGGGAAUCUUCCGCAAUGGGCGAAAGCCUGACGGAGCAACGCCGCGUGAGUGAUGAAGGUCUUCGGAUCGUAAAACUCUGUUAUUAGGGAAGAACAUAUGUGUAAGUAACUGUGCACAUCUUGACGGUACCUAAUCAGAAAGCCACGGCUAACUACGUG
rnacentral:rRNA from 1 species